CCAAGAGUGAGGAGCAGCACCUGCAUUUAGGGAAGUCCAGACACUCUCUCGUUUCUUUGCCUCAGAGUUGGGGUCAGCUCUUCUCUGCUCUUUUACAUUUGUAAUGGUGAUCCUCCUUUGCAUGUUUACUGCCCAACUGACCUGUCACUUGGAAAAAAUCCUUCCAUGGGGAACACUCUUUCGUGACACAGCACAUCCCCUUCCAAACACCCUGGGGACAUUCUGAUGGUUUUAAAACCAAACAUCUUGGAAAAGAGCAGUGCUCUCCCAACAAACAGCAGUACAGUCAGGCCUCAGAAGGCAAACAAGCAAGGCAGGAGCUUGUGGGAGGAGAUGGUAAUAAAUACAACAGUCAGCUUCUUAAUCACCAUCCCCAGUGCCUGAUAACCAUUACCUUGUUUCAGUGCAUAACAGUGACAGGACAGCCCUCCACAUUUGGAGGACUUUACCCAGCAAAAUCUCCUCAGGGAUGAACAAGCACUGAAGUGUAAACACACCCAAGAACUUUUAAAGGUUGGAAAAGGAAAAUCUCUUAUGCCGUGAGAGUCAUCAGGCAUGAGGCAGCCCGGGCACAGCAGCCUCCGGUCUGCAGCAGCUGCACUCAGCAAGCCCAAGAGUCAAGGCUUUUUUUGGGAGCAGGGGUGGACACAGUGAAAACCAGCCUGUCCUUACUCAGAACUCCUGCCUUCAGGGCACUCAAGCCAAAGCUGUCUUAAUGUGCUUUUAAAAGAAGGCAAAUGCAAACAAGGCAUCAUUUCCUUCAAAGCCCGGCACUUCUCCUCCGCUGAGACAUCUAGAGCUGCUAUCGUCAGCUUAAGGAGCAAUAACUUCACCAGGAGGCGAAGCCGGUUUAUGAGGGGGAGGAGGAAGAGUUAAACCAAACUCAUCAACCCACCCAGUGUCAUCAGCCAGCAGCUCUGAGCACACUCUCACCACGGGGAAGCGGCGGAGAGACACGACAUCCCAGCGGCACGUCCAAGAGAGGAUGUGCCCUAAAGGACGCAGCUGAUUCAUCAUCCCGCUCUGGAAUCUCGGGCAGUUUCAGCUGCAGAGGCCUGACCUGCUUGGCAGCCAGCCGGCCGGCAUCAGCUGCCUCCUGGAAAAGGGAAAGAACAAAUAAAAAGCUUUGAAACGACAAAGUGGGCAGAGGAAUGGGGAGGAGGGGAAAGGAGGGAGUGUGUGGUGGGGGGAAGAGGUGGCCUUGCAGGCUCUGGUUGAGUAAGAGGCUAAUUCCCCCCCACUCCCUGACCGCGACUCCAUCUAAUUACCCUGUUUCCUCUGAGCUGAUUGGAAAGUGGCCUUGUGUCUGGAAAAGGCAGUCCUGUCUUUCCGGGAUGAAACCUUCAUACUUGGGAAUACUAAGCAGAUUUAUUCUGACACCCGUUCUCUGGGGAAAGUCUGCAGCUUCUCAAAGACAGGUCAUGGGUACAGCAUCUUCAUGGUCACAACCCACUGAAGCGCACUCAUUAUCACCCAUCCCAGCUCAGGGCAUGUCCUCUGCCGGCACUGAGGAGAACUGUACCAGAGAAGAUGCAGGACCUGUGUCAGUGUACUUGAUCCCUGGAUUUCAUCACACAUGACUUCACUGCAACUGCUUUGCUUUACCCCUUGCUCAACAACAAAGAGGUACCUCGACUUCAGAACUUUGUAUCUGUGCCCAGACUUCAAGGCUGACAUAUCUCAACAUUGAGAAUAAAGUGAAAAUCUCCUUUA